rnacentral:rRNA from 1 species
UACGGGGGGAGCAAGCGUUGUUCGGAUUUACUGGGCGUAAAGGGCACGUAGGCGGUAGCACAAGUCAGUUGUGAAAUCUCCGGGCUUAACUCGGAAAGGUCAACUGAUACUGUGCGACUAGAGUGCAGAAGGGGCAACUGGAAUUCUCGGUGUAGCGGUGAAAUGCGUAGAUAUCGAGAGGAACACCUGCGGCGAAGGCGGGUUGCUGGGCUGACACUGACGCUGAGGCGCGAAAGCCAGGGGAGCGAACGGG